CUUGGGGAUAACCUUGCGAAAGUAAGACUAAUACCCAAUGAUAUCUCUAGAAGACAUCUGAAAGAGAUUAAAGAUUUAUCGGUGAUGGAUGGGGAUGCGUCUGAUUAGCUUGUUGGCGGGGUAACGGCCCACCAAGGCAACGAUCAGUAGGGGUUCUGAGAGGAAGGUCCCCCACAUUGGAACUGAGACACGGUCCAAACUCCUACGGGAGGCAGCAGUGAGGAAUAUUGGUCAAUGGACGAGAGUCUGAACCAGCCAAGUAGCGUGCAGGAUGACGGCCCUAUGGGUUGUAAACUGCUUUUAUAAGGGAAUAAAGUGAGUCUCGUGAGACUUUUUGCAUGUACCUUAUGAAUAAGGACCGGCUAAUUCCGUGCCAGCAGCCGCGGUAAUACGGAAGGUCCGGGCGUUAUCCGGAUUUAUUGGGUUUAAAGGGAGCGUAGGCCGGAGAUUAAGCGUGUUGUGAAAUGUAGACGCUCAACGUCUGCACUGCAGCGCGAACUGGUUUCCUUGAGUACGCACAAAGUGGGCGGAAUUCGUGGUGUAGCGGUGAAAUGCUUAGAUAUCACGAAGAACUCCGAUUGCGAAGGCAGCUCACUGGAGCGCAACUGACGCUGAAGCUCGAAAGUGCGGGUAUCGAACAGGAUUAGAUACCCUGGUAGUCCGCACGGUAAACGAUGGAUGCCCGCUGUUGGUCUGAAUAGGUCAGCGGCCAAGCGAAAGCAUUAAGCAUCCCACCUGGGGAGUACGCCGGCAACGGUGCAACUCAAAUGAAUUGACGG
rnacentral:rRNA from 1 species